rnacentral:rRNA from 1 species
ACGCUCGACACCUACGGGAGGCAGCAGUGGGGAAUAUUGGGCAAUGGGCGCAAGCCUGACCCAGCAACGCCGCGUGAAGGAAGAAGGCCCUCGGGUUGUAAACUUCUUUUGUCAGGGACGAAGCAAGUGACGGUACCUGACGAAUAAGCCACGGCUAACUACGUGCCAGCAGCCACGGUAAUCUGAGCGGGCUGGCAAGGC